UGGGGAAUUUUGGACAAUGGGCGCAAGCCUGAUCCAGCAAUGCCGCGUGCAGGAUGAAGGCCUUCGGGUUGUAAACUGCUUUUGUACGGAGCGAAAAGGUCUGCCCUAAUACGGUGGGCUCAUGACGGUACCGUAAGAAUAAGCACCGGCUAACUACGUGCCAGCAGCCGCGGUAAUACGUAGGGUGCGGGCGUUAAUCGGAAUUACUGGGCGUAAAGCGUGCGCAGGCGGUUAUAUAAGACAGGUGUGAAAUCCACGGGCUCAACCUGGGACCUGCAUUUGUGACUGUAUAGCUAGAGUACGGUAGAGGGGGAUGGAAUUCCGCGUGUAGCAGUGAAAUGCGUAGAUAUGCGGAGGAACACCGAUGGCGAAGGCAAUCCCCUGGACCUGUACUGACGCUCAUGCUCGAAAGCGUGGGGAGCAAACA
rnacentral:rRNA from 1 species